rnacentral:rRNA from 1 species
CCUACGGGAGGCAGCAGUAGGGAAUAUUGCUCAAUGGGGGAAACCCUGAAGCAGCAACGCCGCGUGGAGGAUGAAGGUUUUCGGAUUGUAAACUCCUUUUGUUAGAGAAGAUAAUGACGGUAUCUAACGAAUAAGCACCGGCUAACUCCGUGCCAGCAGCCGCGGUAAUACGGAGGGUGCAAGCGUUACUCGGAAUCACUGGGCGUAAAGAGCGCGUAGGCGGGAUAGCAAGUCAGAGGUGAAAUACUAUGGCUUAACCAUAGAACUGCAUUUGAAACUGUUACUCUAGAGUAUGGGAGUGGUCGGUGGAAUUCGUGGUGUAGGGGUAAAAUGCGUAGAGAUCAAGAAGAAUACUGAUUGCGAAGGCGACCUGCUAGAACAUAACUGACGCUGAUGUGCGAAAGCGUGGGGAGCAAACAGGAUUAGAUACCCGUGUAGUC